ensembl:lncRNA
CUUGAAUGUAACACAUUGUGGAAAUCAUAAUAUAAGCAGCCAGGGGAUGAAAAACUUCUCAUUCCAAAUGGCUUUUAAUUAAAAAGAAAAAGAGAAAUCUAGUUUCACUGUAAUCUGUAUUAGAAGAUUAGCACGGAUGGAUGUCCUGCUCAGGACUCCCAAACCUCACCUUCUUAUCCUCUUUCCUGUCCUUUCCAACCUGUUUGACCUCGGUGCUUUCAUCACUAUGUGCAUUGUCUAAUAACCUAACAGUUUUAAAUUCAGUAUUCAUUUUUUGGAUUUUUAAAAAACAAAUACCUUUUAAAGACAGUUUUGUGUUCAACUUAUGUUAGAUGAUUUAUUUUAAAUUUAAUGACUGCAAAAACGUGCAUUUCUUUACUCUAAAAGCAUCAUGGAAUUUCAUUGCCAUAUUUAAAAAGUUCAUAUAAACCAACUGCCAAAAUACUACCACCUUAGAAAUAAUAUAGCUGUGGGCAAAUGUUACGGACUGCUGAGGCAAAAGUCACCCAAACUGUACAAAGGCAGGCUAUUCGUCAAGAAAGGAUACUUGGAUCAUCCUGAUGAAAUGAAUUACUGACUGCUCUCAUAAGUAAAAUCAAGUGCAGCCUGGACUUAAUUUUGCCCAGCAAGGAAAAGCUAAUUGGUGGUGGAGAAGGGAUAAGAAUGGCAGGAGAAAGCACCUUUGUCAUCCUCAACUUGGACUUGGCACAUGAGGAACUAAGAAAGAAUGGUAAAAGCAUAGAAGAAUUUUGAAAGAAAGCAUCUCAGAACACGAGAUAGCAAUCUGGAGGAUAAUGCAUUAAUAGGAGAUGGAGAAUACCAUGAACUUCGCAGUGCUUGUAAGAGAAAUAAACAUCAAAUUCCAAAGAUGUCUUGCCAUUGCUGCAAGCCUGGAGAGCGAGAGAAGGAAGAGAAGGAAGGUGAGAGUCAAACGACACCAUUUAAGAAUUAUAGAUCAGAUGUGUGUUUGCUCAGUCACUUCAGUUGCGUCUGACUCUUUGCGACCCUACAGACUGUAGCCCUCCAGGCUCCGCCAUGCAUGGGAUUCUCCAGGAAGAAUACUGGAAUGGGUUCUCCAGGGGACCUUUCUGACCCAGGGAUCAAAUGUCUCUUGUCUCCUACAUUGGCAGAAAACCAGUAUUUCUUCAGUCUUUAAGGACUUGGAUUCUUAGAUGGGCUUUGGUGGAGGACUUGGUGGAGGACGUGGAGCAGCACUCACAGGUCUAAAUUGGGGUGGAGGUGUCCUGUUUUCCCAGGCUUCUGGAGGGUGAUUACUGACUCCCUUGCUGUGAAUGGCACAACUCA